CCUUGUUUGUUUACUCUUCUAUUGGUGUGAAGAGACACCAUGACCAUGGCAAUUCUUACUUUUAAAAAGCAUUUAAUCGAAGCUGGCUUACAGUGUCAGAGGUUUAGUCCAUUAUCAUCAUGGUGAGAAGCAUGGUGUCACACAGGUAGACAUGGUGCUGGAGAAGUAGCUGGCUGUUCCACAUAUGGAUCUGUAGGCAGCAGGAAGAGCAGAGAGACUGGACCCAGCUUGGGCUUUUGAAACCUCAAAGCCCCACCCCCAGUGAUACACUUCCUCCAACGAGGCCACACCUCCUCUGUCCUUUUCAAGCAGUGCCACUCCCUGAUGACUAAGCAUUCACAUAUAUGACCCAAUUGAGGCCAUUCUUAUUCAGAUCACCACAUCCCUGUCAGAGCCUGUCUCUGGUGAUCUUCCAGCUAGGUCCCGCCUCCUCAAGGGUCUGUCAUCUCCAAUGAUACCACAGGCUGGUGACCAGAUCUUUAAUAUCCGGCCCUUCCAGACCCAACCCAUAGAGAGUACACUUCACGAAUGUGAUCCCUUUUUGUUUUCUUGGUGCUGAGGCUCUACCUCAGAGCCUCAUACAUACCAAGCAAGCCCUUGACCACCGAGGUACAUCCCCUCCUGUUAAUGUGCUAGGUUGACCAAUACAGUAUUCCUGGUGGCUCUAGCUGCUCAGUUGGCUUAAGUGGCCACAGUUGAGUCUUGUUCUGUGUAUCCUAAGAGUCCUGUUGAUACAUUCCCUUCUUUAGGUUGCAGGGCAUGCAAGAUUGACCAGACAGACCUCAAAGAGCUGAGACAGUGAACGGAGAGACUGUUUGAGGGUCACUAGUCUCUCUCUCGGUCCCUGACUACAGACUUGCCCCUUUCCCAGUGUGACCUCACAAAGUUCCACAGCACCCUGGAACCCAGGGCUGUUGUGUCCUCGAGAAAUCCAGGAGAACGGCUCCUCCCUGAUGGCCUGCUGGUUGUGGCAAAAAUGAGUGACGUUGUGUUCUUCUCCUUCGUUGUCUUCCUGGGCAGCCGUUGGGGUGCAGAGCCCCUGUCUAUCCCUGUGACUGAAGGUGUGGAGAACGAGUUUUCCUCAAGUUCAAAGCAUCUUGAAGAAGAUAUGGCUAAACUAUUUGAUGAGAUCGUGCUGCAGGUGUUUCCCAGCACUUUAGAUGGUACAAGCACGGCUGGCAGACUGAUCACGGGGAGAGACGUGAAUGAAACCUAUCUCCACCAUAAUGGGGUCAGCGAUUCUGUGUUGGCAUCAAGUUCAUAUCAGCAAGAUGACUACUUGGAUAAGAUAUUUGAUGAGAUCCUGUGGCAGGUGUUUUCUAACAAUUCAAAAUAUUCAUCAGAAGACGAUGCAAGAACAACUGAUCAGCCAGUCACACGGAAAGUCUCGAACAAAACUCAUGCUGCUGAGAAGAAUAAAGAUAAAGAACCAUCUCUAUUCAACAGGGAUUUAAGCCAUCAAUUAACUGCUGGCGGCAAAGAAGCACUCCAGGAAAACGCUCAAGUUGCUUACAGGGAGAGUCCGCCUUGUUCCCAGCUGCUGAGCUUCCUGCAGAAGAACAUCAUUUCUGCUACCACUGCCAUGGCUUCGAUCCUCCUGGUGGCAGUGCUGGUGGUGCUCAUGCUGGUCAUGUGUGUAAGGCGGAGACAGCCAAAGUUUUCUCCGGCGAAGAUGACGUACAAUAUUUUCAUAAUGAACGGGAAGGCUUGGUGGCAAAAUUCCCAAGAUAAGCACCUGAAAAAAUUUACGGGAAAGCAGAAGUACCCGAAGUUCAAUUCUUUUGUCUAA
rnacentral:lncRNA from 14 species